rnacentral:rRNA from 1 species
GACGAACGCUGGCGGCGUGCUUAACACAUGCAAGUCGAACGGUAAGGCCCUUCGGGGUACACGAGUGGCGAACGGGUGAGUAACACGUGGGUGAUCUGCCCUGCACUUCGGGAUAAGCCUGGGACACUGGGUCUAAUACCGGAUAGGACUCCGGACUGCAUGGGCUGGGGUGGAAAGCUUUUGCGGUGCGGGAUGGGCGCGCGGCCUUUCAGCUUGUUGGUGGGGUGAUGGCCGACCAAGGCGACGACGGGUGGCCGGCCGGAGAGGGUGACCGGCCACACUGGGACUGAGAUACGGCCCAGACUCCUACGGGAGGCAGCAGUGGGGAAUAUUGCACAAUGGGCGCAAGCCUGAUGCAGCGACGCCGCGUGAGGGAUGACGGCCUUCGGGUUGUAAACCUCUUUCAGCAUCGACGAAGCGAAAGUGACGGUAGGUGCAGAAGAAGGACCGGCCAACUACGUGCCAGCAGCCGCCGCGG